UGAACGCUACGUCUGGACCGAGAU
rnacentral:siRNA from 1 species